rnacentral:rRNA from 1 species
GAGUUUGAUCAUGGCUCAGGAUGAACGCUGGCGGCGUGCCUAACACAUGCAAGUCGAGCGAUUUACUUCGGUAAAGAGCGGCGGACGGGUGAGUAACGCGUGGGUAACCUGCCUCAUACACAUGGAUAACAUGCCGAAAGGUAUGCUAAUACAGGAUAAUAUAAGAGAUUCACAUGGAUUUCUUAUCAAAGCUCCGGCGGUAUGAGAUGGACCCGCGUCUGAUUAGCUAGUUGGUAAGGUAAUGGCUUACCAAGGCGACGAUCAGUAGCCGACCUGAGAGGGUGAUCGGCCACAUUGGAACUGAGACACGGUCCAAACUCCUACGGGAGGCAGCAGUGGGGAAUAUUGCACAAUGGGCGAAAGCCUGAUGCAGCAACGCCGCGUGAGUGAUGAAGGCCUUCGGGUCGUAAAACUCUGUCCUCAAGGAAGAUAAUGACGGUACUUGAGGAGGAAGCCCCGGCUAACUACGUGCCAGCAGCCGCGGUAAUAC